rnacentral:rRNA from 1 species
UACGUAGGGUGCAAGCGUUGUCCGGAAUUAUUGGGCGUAAAGAGCUCGUAGGCGGUCUGUCGCGUCGGAUGUGAAAACUGGGGGCUCAACCCCCAGCCUGCAGUGGGUACGGGCAGACUAGAGUGCGGUAGGGGAGAUUGGAAUUCCUGGUGUAGCGGUGGAAUGCGCAGAUAUCAGGAGGAACACCGAUGGCGAAGGCAGAUCUCUGGGCCGUAACUGACGCUGAGGAGCGAAAGCAUGGGGAGCGAACAGG